GUCCUCGGACCCAUGGUGAAGGGACAGUCCAGACCACGAACGCUAUGCGGCGGCGAAAGUCGAAGUGGUAUGAAUCCUGGGGUCGGAGGUUCGAAUCCUCUCGUGGACACCA
rnacentral:tRNA from 1 species